rnacentral:tRNA from 2 species
UUCCUGUUCGUAUAACGGCUAGUAUGCUCGCUUGUCAUGACAGACCGCGGGAGAUCGGAGUUCGAUUCUCCGACAGGAAG